GGAGCGACUCGCUAGCUCAGCAGGUAGAGCACCUGACUUUUAAUCAGGGGGUCGCGGGUUCGAACCCCGUCUUCCGCUCCA
rnacentral:tRNA from 1 species